AAUUCUUCCGGGGAGGUGAAUGGGACCCGGUGCUCUGAACCAGCUGGGUUGUCAAGAGGUCAAGAGGGACAGCCUCCUGGGCCCUGCCCGCCUCCCAGAUGGGGGUCUGGGGUUUAUUAUGCAGAUUGGACUAGGCCUCUCCCCGUGACCAUAGAAACCCAACCAGUUCUCUUGCAACAAAGCUCUGAGGAAGGGUUACUUAAGUCUGGAGCGGCGGGACCGGCCGCAGAACGCACCCUCCUCAGAACAGCCCAGAGCCCUGGGCCCUCUGCUCCCCAGGGACAUGGGAUGCCACACGAGCAAGAGCACCAAGGUGGUGGGGGAGUCCCAGAAGCCCGGAGAACAGCCCGAGGGAGAAGAGCCAAAUCCGGAGGCAGGCGCUGAGGCGGCAGAUGGCAAAGACAUCUCACUGAAGGAUGGGGGCCCUGCGCCCAAGAGCUGAGCUGCUUUCCUCUGGAGUCAGUCCGGACCCUCUCUGCAUUCCGGGAACCGCCUUUGGCCAAGGACGCCCGAGACAAGCCCAGUCCUGAGAACCUCCAAGCAGAAGGAGGGAGAAAUCUCUGCUUCCAGCACGUACCCUCCUCAGGCUUUGCUCUUUGGAGCCGUGAGGAAUCCUAUUUCCCUGGGCUUCCGUGGAGAGGACAGAAGGAGCCUUCACCCGACGUCGUGGGACUUGCGCGCAGCUUCUGGAGAAGGGCGAGCCCCGUGGUGGGCUCUUCUGGCUCCGGGGGAGAACCGGGUGCUGCUGAGCUGUGACUGUCCAGGGACACCCCCCUCCCCUCCCCCAGCCGCCUGCCUCACCUUCUGACCUCCCCUAACGCCCACUGGGCCGUGCGGGUGUCGGUUUGUUCUCUUCCUCUCCUUUUUCCCAAGAGCUCGCCGAAGAGCCAACAUCCCUAGCAGGGACGUUUUCCUUUGGCUCGCUCCACACUGUCGAAAUGUCAGAAACGGAAUGGGACUCUUUUGAGAAGACAAGACAACCAGGCUGAGGAGAGGGAAAAGAAGGAAGGACAAGAGGGCUUUGUGUGGGAAGAAGCUGCUCAGAGGGCACCCUCAGGACUCCUGGAAAAAGUUCUCAGUGGCUGGUGAGGCUUUGGGGCUGGGUGGUGCCCGUCUCACUGGUGACCGAGAGGCGGGACUCAAACUCUGCUUCUCACCAGAUCAAACAAAGGAGGGAGGCUUCAGGUCCUUUGACCGUCAGACAGUGGUUUGUUCUGAUUCCUCCUGGGAUGGGGCAAAAUGCUUGUUUCAUUAAAUUCAAGAUCUCUGAGGGCUUUUAAAAACAAGAUGCAUUAUCCGCCUUCGGCUGGACGGGCUUGCUGCGUUUUGCCAGGAAGUUCAUCCUUAAAGGAAAAAAAAAAAAGGAUCCAGUUUCUUUUUAAAGACAUUUCAGUGAUUCCAUGGGGGCCCAGUACCACUCAUCUGUGUCUCCCUCUGAGGCUCGAGUGCCUGCGGAAAGUGGUUAGAAUUAUGUGCUCUCAAACAUAACUUGAACCUUUUCAAAGACAGGUCUGCACAGACUCUGCCCGUCACUUGAACGCCAGGGCUCUGGGCCACUUCCCAAACAGCUGGAAGGGGAGGGGUUUGUUUUCUAGCCAACUCACCUAUCUACAUAGGCUUCCGCCUAUCCUUUCUUCCUUCCAGCCAUCCAGGCAUCUAUCUAUUUCUUUCUAUCCAUCCAUCCAUCCAUCCAUCCAUCCAUCCAUCCAAACAUCCGUCCAUCCAUCUCUCCCUUGGAUUUUUCAUCUCUCCGAGGCAAUAAUUUUCCAAUUCAAUCCAAAUUCACUUAUUAAACACUUAAUUGAGUUUCUACUCUUCUCUAUCACUUCUUUCUUUCUUUUUCACUCACUCGCUCACUCCGCAGUGACGGGGAGGCUGUUCUAUGGCAAACUCCUCCGUGUUAAUAAAAGGUUGAAGUGUGUCUUUCUGGAAGCACAGCCGGGAACAAGGGUGGUCCAGAGAAAUCCUUCCAGCCCAGGGGAGGCCUGAGUUGAAGCUUCAGGACUAAGUAGGCAUCAGCUAGGGAAAGAGGAUGGGUGUUUCAGGAGAAGGGGAAGGUGUGACCGAGCUGCAUGGGGUGUGUUGUGCAGUGUUACGGGAGCCUGACCAGCAUGGCACGUAGUUAGGAAGGUGAUGCUUGGAAAGUAAAAAGGAUCAGCUCAUGGAGGGCCUUGUCUUUUAUACCAAGAGGCUAAGAGUUCAUCCGAAUACUGCUGAGUAUGCUGAUUUUCACUGAAGGACUUCAGGCAGAGGAACGAAGCUAGAACAUCAAUUGUUCAUGACUGCUUGGUAUCCUGCCUUCUGGUAACAAAGCCUAUCUUUUCCCCUGGCAGGACCCUUUUCUUUCCAUUCUCAGUAUACAUGAUCCCAUUCUCAGGCUCCAUGCCGAGCACUGCUUGUACCUGGUCAAAGUGAUUUGUUCAGAGGAGGUCAUCUGGCUCAAACCAGUCCAGACUUUUUGUUGUGUGAGGGUCUAUUUAGCCAGAGCGAUGCCAUGUGGUUAAACAGUGAUUUUGUUGUUUAUGCAGGAAAACUUAAACUGUCCCUGCC